rnacentral:rRNA from 1 species
GACGAACGCUGGCGGCGUGCCUAAUACAUGCAAGUCGAACGCUGAAGGAGGAGCUUGCUUCUCUGGAUGAGCUGCGAACGGGUGAGUAACGCGUAGGUAACCUGCCUGGUAGCGGGGGAUAACUAUUGGAAACGAUAGCUAAUACCGCAUAAUAGUAGAUGUUGCAUGACAUUUGCUUAAAAGGUGCAAUUGCAUCACUACCAGAUGGACCUGCGUUGUAUUAGCUAGUUGGUGAGGUAACGGCUCACCAAGGCGACGAUACAUAGCCGACCUGAGAGGGUGCACCGCCCCACUGGGAAGGGGACACGGCCCAAGCCCCCGAGGGGAGGCAGAGGGGGGAAUCUUCGGAAAGGGGGGGAAGUCUGGAGGAACCCCGCCGGGGGGGGGAAGAAGGUUGUGGGAGUGAAAAACUCGUUUAAGAGGGAAGAACGGGGGGGAGGGUGAAAACUUCACGCUGUGACGUUACCUACCGAAAAAGGGCCGGCUAACUACGUG